rnacentral:rRNA from 1 species
UACCAGCACCCCGAGUGGUCGGGACGAUUAUUGGGCCUAAAGCAUCCGUAGCCGGCCUUACAAGUCCCCCGUUAAAUCCAACUGCUUAACAGAUGGGCUGCGGAGGAUACUAUAAGACUAGGAGGCAGGAGAGGCAAGCGGUACUCAGUGGGUAGGGGUAAAAUCCGUUGAUCCAUUGAAGACCACCAGUGGCGAAGGCGGCUUGCCAGAAUGCGCUCGACGGUGAGGGAUGAAAGCCUGGGGGAGCAAACCGG